rnacentral:rRNA from 1 species
UAUGAUAUACACCUGUGAACUAUUUGCCUUCGGGCACCAAACCAAACAUAAUGUCAAUGAAUGUAAACAUAUUAUAACAAAUAUAACUUUCAACAACGGAUCUCUUGGCUCUCACAUCGAUGAAGAACGCAGCGAAAUGCGAUAAGUAAUGUGAAUUGCAGAAUUCAGUGAAUCAUCGAAUCUUUGAACGCAGAUUGCGCCUUUUGGUAUUCCGAAAGGCAUGCCUGUUUGAGUGUCUUAUAAACCUCACCUCUACUGUUUUUCAUUAGACAUGUAGAUUGGUGCUUUGGGUGUUGCCGUUUACUCUGGCUCGCCUUAAAUGUCUAAGUGGAAUGCGUAAUAAGUUCUUUCGCAACCCUCCACUCUAAUAACACACUUUAUACUCUGACCUCAAAUCAGGUAGGACUACCCGCUGAACUUAAGCAUAUCAAUAAGCGGAGGAAAAGAAACUAACAAGGAUUCCCUUAGUAGCGGCGAGCGAAGCGGGAAGAGCUCAAAUUUGUAAUCUGGCGUCUUUCAGGCGUCCGAGUUGUAAUCUAUAGAAGUGUUUUCUAUGCCGGACCGUGUCUAAGUCCCUUGGAAUAGGGUAUCAAAGAGGGUGACAAUCCCGUGCUUGACAUGACUCCCGGUGUUCUGUGAUACAUUUUCUACGAGUCGAGUUGUUUGGGAAUGCAGCUCUAAAUGGGUGGUAAAUUCCAUCUAAAGCUA